rnacentral:rRNA from 1 species
GAUGAACGCUGGCGGCGUGCCUAAUACAUGCAAGUCGAGCGAACAGAUGAGGAGCUUGCUCCUCUGACGUUAGCGGCGGACGGGUGAGUAACACGUGGAUAACCUACCUAUAAGACUGGGAUAACUUCGGGAAACCGGAGCUAAUACCGGAUAAUAUAUUGAACCGCAUGGUUCAAUAGUGAAAGACGGUUUUGCUGUCACUUAUAGAUGGAUCCGCGCCGCAUUAGCUAGUUGGUAAGGUAACGGCUUACCAAGGCAACGAUGCGUAGCCGACCUGAGAGGGUGAUCGGCCACACUGGAACUGAGACACGGUCCAGACUCCUACGGGAGGCAGCAGUAGGGAAUCUUCCGAAAUGGGCGAAAGCCUGACGGAGCAACGCCGCGUGAGUGAUGAAGGUCUUCGGAUCGUAAAACUCUGUUAUUAGGGAAGAACAAAUGUGUAAGUAACUAUGCACGUCUUGACGGUACCUAAUCAGAAAGCCACGGCGAACUACGU